GACGAACGCUGGCGGCGUGCUUAACACAUGCAAGUCGAACGGAAAGGCCCGGUUUUGGUGGGGUGGUCGAGUGGCGAACGGGUGAGUAACACGUGAGUAACCUGCCCUUGACUGUGGGAUAACUUCAGGAAACUGGGGGUCAUACCGGAUAGGAGCUCCUGCUGCAUGGUGGGGGUUGGAAAGUUUCGGCGGUUGGGGAUGGACUCGCGGCUUAUCAGAUUGUUGGUGGGGUAGUGGCUUACCAAGGCUUUGACGGGUAGCAGGCCUGAGAGGGUGAGCCGACAAGCUGCGAUGGAGCUACGGCCCAGACUCCUCUGGGACGCAGCAGUGCAGAAGAGUGCAUAAUGGGCGGAGGGCUGGUGUGGCAACGCCACGUGCGGUAAGACAUCAUUCGCGUUGGAUACCAAUUUCGCCUGUGACGAGGCGAGAGUGACGGUACUGGGUAAAGAAGCACCGGCUAACUACGUG
rnacentral:rRNA from 1 species